GUGCUUGCUUUGGCAGCACAUAUACUAAAAAUAGAAUGACUCAGAGAAGAUCAGCAUGGCCACUGUGCAAGGAUGACAUGCAAAUUCAUAAAGCACACCAUAUUUUA
rfam:Egretta garzetta contig84870, whole genome shotgun sequence.